rnacentral:rRNA from 1 species
AUUGAACGCUGGCGGCAUGCCUUACACAUUCAAGUCGAACGGUAACAGGUUAAGCUGACGAGUGGCGAACGGGUGAGCAAUAUAUCGGAACGUGCCCAGUCGUGGGGGCAAACGUAGCGAAAGCCACGCUAAUACCGCAGACGAUCUACGGAUGAAAGCGGGGGAUCGCAAGUCCUCGCGCGAUUGGAUCCGCCGAUAGCAGAUUAGGUUGUUGGUGAGGUAAAAGAUCACCAAGGCUGCGAUCUGUAGCUGGUCUGAGAGGACGACCAGCCACACUGGAACUGAGACACGGUCCAGGCUCCUACGGGAGGCAGCAGUGGGGAAUUUUGGACAAUGGACGCAAGUCUGAUCCAGCAAUGCCGCGUGCAGGACGAAGGCCUUCGGGUUGUAAACUGCUUUUGUACGGAACGAAACGGUGAGCUCUAAUACAGUUUGCUAAUGACGGUACCGUAAGAAUAAGCACCGGCUAACUACGUGCCAGCCGCCGCUGUAA